GUUAACCACUGAGCCACAAAGGGAGCCCCCCAGUCUUCCUUAUUCAAACCUCUAUUUUCACUCACUCAAAGAACACGUGACAUAAGGGUCCUUUGCUUUGUCUGAAAAGGAUGGCCACUUUCCUAAAAAACUAACAGGUUUGGUUAUGCUUUCUGUAAAUAUAAUCUUUCAAAGGCCUAGUGCUCUGAAUUUAGUCCCUAUCACAGGCCAUGUACAAAUGUGAGCAUGCCUGCUAGAUUUAACCCAUCACUCCAGACACCACACACCAGAUAUCACACACUUUCUGCCAUAGAGCACAGAAAAACCAUUUUGAGAGCUGACUCAAAUGGGCUUCUGCUUUCUUCAGGAAAGUGCUGGUUGUGUUCAGGUGAAAACCUUCUCAGCUCCCAAUAAGAGUUAGGAAGGACAGCAGCCAGUGAAAUAUGCCUGCCCUACAGAUUAUCAUCUGGGACAAAAUCUACCCACCUGCGCUUUGGUAGGAUAUCCUUCUUGAGGAGAUAUUGUCUGGCCACAGGUAUGCCUUCUCUCAUUCACAGUGGAGACACGGAUCUUAAGCAGGCUAAGCCAUUCGAUGGCUUUGAGUACUGUUUCAUGUCUUAAACAAGAAACCUCAGGCUUCCUUAUUCAAACUUCUACUGCACUCACUCAAAGAACACAUGGCAUGAGGGUGCUUCGCUGUGUCUGAAAAGGUCACCCACUUUCCUAAAAGAAUGGGUUUGAUCAUGCUUUCUGUAAAUACAAUCUUUCAAACACCUGGCACUCUGAAUUUAACUCCAUAUCACAUGCCAUGUACAAAAGCUGCUCGAUUUUACCAAUCACUCCCGAUGUCAGAUGCCAGGGGUAGCACUUCCAUUCACGGAAGAACACAGAAAAACCUUUCUGAGAGCUGACUAGAAAGAGCUAUUGUUUCUUCAGGAAAUUUUUCAUUGCAUAAGGGUGAAACACUUCUCAGCUCCCAGUAACAGUUAGGUGUUUGUACUGAGGAAUGAAACCAGCAAGAAUAUGCCUGCCUUAUGGAUUAAAACCUGAGAAGGGAAAUCUGCUCGCUUGAGAUUUGGGUAGGAAGAUCCUUCCAGAAGAAGGAUUCUAUGGGCCCAAGAUUGCCCUCUCUUAUUCACAGUGGAAUCACAGCUCUUAACCGAGUUAGGCUGUUCAUCCACUUUCAGUAUUGUGACAUGUCUUAAAAGAACUUCAUGUUUCCUUAUUCAAAGCUCUAGUUCACUCAAAGAACACAUGGCAUAAGGUUUGCCACAUACCUAAAAGAACUAACAGUUUGGUUAGGCUUUCUGUAAAGCAAACCUUUCAGAUGGCGAGCACACUGAGUUUAGCUCCAAUUCACAAGCCAGGUACAAAAGUGAGCAGGCCUGCCAGAUUUUACCAGUCACUCCAGAUACCACAAAUCACACAUAGCACUUUCAUUCCUACAUGAAGACUGUUAGAUAAACUGAUUUGGCAUCUGACUCAAAAGAUUUUCUCUUUUCUCUUGGAAAGUACUCAUUGUGUAAGUGUGAAAAAGUUCAUCAGCUCUGAAUAUGAGUUAGGUGUUGGCAGUGAGGACAGCAACUGGCAAGAUGAUGCUUUCUGUAAAGCAACCUUCUCCAAUGCCAAGCACUCCGAGUUUAUCUCCAUAUCACAUGCCAUUUACAAGAGCGGGCAGGCUUUCCCGAUUUUUGUCAAUCACUCCAGAUGUAACAGACCAGGUACAGCACUUUCCUUCAUGGAGGAUCACUGUUACAAAAACUGAUUUGGGAACUGGCUCGGAAUGGUCUCUGGUUUCUCUUGGAAUGUUUUCAUUGCAUAAAGGUGAAAAAGUUCUCAGCUCUUAAUAUCAGGUAUUUGUAUCGAGACAGCAACCCGGAAGGAUAUGUCUGCACUAUAAAUUAAAACCUGCUGCUUGAGCCUGGAGUAGGAAGCUCUUUCCAGAAGUAUUCUCUGGUGCAAGAUUUCCCUCUCUUAUCCUCAAUGGAAACACAGAUCUCAAGCAGCCUAGGCUGUUCAUCUUAGAGUUCUGUAGCAUGGCUUAAUGAACAAUCUUCAACCUUCCUUAUUCAAACCUCUGUUUCACUCACCAAAGGAAGACACUGCAUAAGCGUGCUUGGUUCUCACUAAAAAGUUUUGCCACCUCUCUUAACAAACUAACAAGUUUUAUUAUGCUUUGUGUAAGGUGAACUUUUCAAAUGGAGAGCAUUCUGAGUUAAGCUCCCUAUCCCAAGCCAGGUCCCAAAGCGAGCAGGCCGCCAGAUUUUAUGAAUCACUCCAGAUAUCUCAGACCGGGUAUAACACUUCCCUUCAUAGAAGAACACUGCUGAAUAAACUGAUUUGGGAACAGACUCGAAAUGGUUUCCGAUUUCUCUAGUAAUGAGCAAGUUCGCAGCUUUUAGUAUUACUGAGUUAUUGGCAUUGAGGGGCGCAAACAGCAAGAACAUGCCUGCACUAGGAAUUGAAACCUGAGAAAGAAAUCAUGCCUGCUUGAGCUUCUGUAGGAGGCUCCUUCCAGAAGAAAUAUUCCCUGGGUGCAGAGUUGCCCUCUCUUAUUCACAGUGGAAACACAGAUCAUAAGCAGGCCAGGCUCUUCCUCUGUUUUCAGUACUGCGACACGUCUUAAGGAAAACACUCCAGGCCAGGCAUCCCCUGCUGCAGGGCCGUGCCCUGGUCUCACCCGGCCUCCUCUCUUGGUUGUGGAACUCCAAAGCCGAGGCAGAGCACAGGGAAGGCUGCCCUAGCAGCUGCGAAGACUCCUUUUGUGCUGGGGACACUUUCAUCUUGUCCACUCUGGCCAGACUUCCACUCUGAGGAGACAACUCUGGAGGACCAGGAAGAGGGUGUUUGGAGAGUCACAACCCAGCCCCGCCAGCCACCGAAGAGGUUGGAGAAAGCUGGCUUGAUAAAAUAAUUUUUCCAAAAUUCUGAUCCUGUGAGAACAAAAAUGAGCCGAGGAGAAAACUUGAAGUUAACUCUUAUCGUGACCUUGAAAUAUAAAUGCAGUCCACUUGGCCUGAGACUUUGGCCUUGGGUUAAAUAGUAGAACUUCAAUCAAAAAUAAAUAAAUAAAUAAAUAAACAGGAAGAGGCUUUUAAAAGCUCAAGAAUGUGUUGUUUCAGGGGCCAGUAUCAUUCAAGGCCAUGGCUGUGAAUUUCACCCAGGAGGAGUGGCAGUAUCUGGACCCCCCUCAGAGGGAUCUGUACAAAGACAUGAUGCUCGACAACUAUAUCAGCCUCAUCUCAGUGGGUACAAAUGGGCACCUUCAUCAGGCAGUCCCUAAUACAGUUGAGAGUUCAAGGUUCCUGAAGCCCGGGUAGCUAAGUCCAUCUCCCUCAUCAUUUCCCACUGGCAGGAUAUCAAACCACCAAGCCUGCUGUGAUCCACGAGUUGGAACAAGGAGAAGAACCAUGGAUGAUGGAGAGAGAAAUCCCAAGUUGGAGAUUUAGGUGGGUUGGGGAAGAGUUGUAUGCGUGGAAGUGAAGGCAGUAAGUUCAGAGUCGGUCAGUGAGGGCUGGCAUCUUUGAGAAAUAUGCUUCAGACUCCCUUCUUAAAGGCCUUGGGCCUUUGAAAAUGACUGGGGACAAUUAACAUAAUAAGUUUCAUAUCUACCUGAACACCAUUUCUGUGGACCGCCUUCCCGUGUUAAUCUGUUUUCGUAUGGCUAUUAAAGAAUUACAUUUUCCCCUUAAGGUGUAUCGUACCUGUGAUUCCUAUCAACUUCAUUUAAGACCUCGAUGAGACAUUUUUGUCUGUUAAAAUUGUGGCAGAGUUCCCCAGUGGUUCAGUGGGAUAAAGAUCCUUCUUUUUCACUACUGUGGUGUGGGUGUGAUCCCAGGUUCCCAGGCCCAGGAACUUGUGCAUGCCAUGGGCGAGGCCAAAAAACAAAACAAAACAAAACCAAAUAAAAUUGUGGCAAAAUAUAGACAACAUAGGAUUUACCUGUUGGCUCAGAGGGUUAAGGAUCUGGUGUUGUCACUGCUAUGGUGCAGGUUCGAUCCCUGGCAGGUGGGACGUCCACAUGCCACAGGAGUGGCCAAAAAAUAGUUAAGUAAAGUAAAAACGCGUCCAAAAUUAUUUUUAAAAAUAUAGACAACAUAAAAUUGACCAUUUUAACCAUUUUUAAAUGUACAGUUUAGUGGUAUUACGUAAGUUUGCAUUGUUGUGCCACUGUCACCACCAUUCAUCUCUAGAACACUUUCAUCAUCAAACUAAAACCCUACACCCAUUAAAUAAUAAUGCUGUGUUCCAUCUUCCCCAUCCACUGGUAACCACUAUUCAACUUUCUAUUACUAUGAAUUUGACUCUUCUAGAUACCUCCUCAUAUAAGUGGAAUCUUAGAAUAUUUGUCUCAUGUAUACUUUAUUUCACUUAGCAUAAUAUCUUCAGAGUUCAUCCAUGUUGUAGCAUGUGUCAGAAUUUCAUUCCUUUACUGGCUGAAUAAUAUUCCAUUGUAAUGUAUAUAACAUUUUAUUUAUCCAUUCAUCUACUGGUGAACAACUGAGCUGUUACUACCUUUUGGUUAUUGUGAAUAAUGCUUCUAUAAACAUUGAUGUACAAAUAUCUGUUUGAGUUCCUGCUUUCAGUUCUUCCAGGUACAUACUCAGAAGUGAAACUGCUGAAUCAUGUGAUAAUUCUCUGUUUACAUUUUUAAGGAAUUACUGUGAUAUUUUCCACAGCUACUGCACAGUUUUACAUUCCCACCAAAAUGUAUAAGGGUUCCAGUUUCUCCACAUCCUCAACAACACUUGUUAUU